GACCUUCUUCGGAGGGUAUGCUUAAAGAGGGGCUUGCGCCACAUUAGUUAGUUGGUGAGGUAAAGGCUUACCAAGAUUAUGAUGUGUAGCUGGACUGAGAGGUUGAACAGCCACAUUGGGACUGAGACACGGCCCAAACUCCUACGGGAGGCAGCAGUAGGGAAUUUUCGGCAAUGGAGGAAACUCUGACCGAGCGACGCCGCGUGAACGAUGAAGUAUUUCGGUAUGUAAAGUUCUUUUAUUGAAGAAGAAAAAAUAGUGGAAAAACUAUCUUGACGUUAUUCAAUGAAUAAGCCCCGGCUAACUAUGUGCCAGCAGCCGCGGUAAGACAUAGGGGGCGAGCGUUAUCCGGAAUUAUUGGGCGUAAAGGGUGCGUAGGCGGUUAGAUAAGUCUAUAAUUUAAUUUCAGUGCUUAACGCUGUCUUGUUAUAGAAACUGUCUUGACUAGAGUGAGAUAGAGGCAAGCGGAAUUCCAUGUGUAGCGGUAAAAUGUGUAAAUAUAUGGAGGAACACCAGAAGCGUAGGCGGCUUGCUGGGUCUUUACUGACGCUGAGGCACGAAAGCGUGGGGAGCAAACAGGAUUAGAUACCCUGGUAGUCCACGCUGUAAACGAUGAGUACUAAGUGUCGGGGAAACUCGGUACUGAAGUUAACACAUUAAGUACUCCGCCUGAGUAGUACGUACGCAAGUAUGAAACUUAAAGGAAUUGACGGGACUCCGCACAAGCGGUGGAUCAUGUUGUUUAAUUCGAAGAUACACGAAAAACCUUACCAGGUCUUGACAUACUCUGCAAAGCUAUAGAAAUAUAGUGGAGGUUAUCAGGGAUACAGGUGGUGCAUGGUUGUCGUCAGUUCGUGUCGUGAGAUGUUAGGUUAAGUCCUAAAACGAACGCAACCCCUGUCGCUAGUUGCCAGCACGUAAUGGUGGGGACUUUAGCGAGACUGCCAAUUAAACAUUGGAGGAAGGUGGGGAUAACGUCAAAUCAUCAUGCCCCUUAUGAUCUGGGCUACAAACGUGAUACAAUGGCUAUUACAAAGAGUAGCUGAAACGCGAGUUUUUAGCCAAUCUCAAAAAGGUAGUCUCAGUACGGAUUGAAGUCUGCAACUCGACUUCAUGAAGCUGGAAUCGCUAGUAAUCGCGAAUCAGCAUGUCGCGGUGAAUACGUUCUCGGGGUUUGUACACACCGCCCGUC
rnacentral:rRNA from 1 species